CCUACGGGUGGCAGCAGUGAGGAAUAUUGGUCAAUGGGCGGAAGCCUGAACCAGCCAAGUAGCGUGCAGGAUGACGGCCCUACGGGUUGUAAACUUCUUUUAUACGGGAAUAAAGUGAGUUACGUGUGCGGUUUUGCAUGUACCGUAUGAAUAAGGACCGGCUAACUCCGUGCCAGCAGCCGCGGUAAUACGGAAGGUCCGGGCGUUAUCCGGAUUUAUUGGGUUUAAAGGGAGCGUAGGCGGCAUGUUAAUCGUGCUGUGAAAUGUCCGGGCGCAACCGGGGACUUGCAGUGCAAACUGGCGGGCUUGAGUCCGCGGAAAGCAGGCGGAAUUCGUGGUGUAGCGGUGAAAUGCUUAGAUAUCACGAAGAACCCCGAUUGCGAAGGCAGCUUGCUGCAGCGGCACUGACGCUGAUGCUCGAAAGCGUGGGUAUCGAACAGGAUUAGAUACCCGUGUAGUC
rnacentral:rRNA from 1 species